UUUCCGUAGGUGAACCUGCGGAAGGAUCAUUAUUGGAUUUUGAAACUUCAGGCUGCUGCUGGCUCUCCUCGGAGGGCAUGUGCACGCUUGUUGUCCAUUAUUUCUCCCACUGUGCACAAAUUGUAGACCUUUCAGUAGGCCUAUGUUGUUUUUCACAAUCUCUGAAUGUAAUAGAAUGGUUUUGAAUCUUGGGAAAUACAAUACAACUUUCAGCAACGGAUCUCUUGGCUCUCGCAUCGAUGAAGAACGAGC
rnacentral:misc_RNA from 1 species